rnacentral:rRNA from 1 species
UACGUAGGGUGCAAGCGUUGUCCGGAAUUAUUGGGCGUAAAGAGCUCGUAGGCGGUCUGUCACGUCGGAUGUGAAAAUCCAGGGCUUAACCCUGGACCUGCAUUCGAUACGGGCAGACUAGAGUUCGGUAGGGGAGACUGGAAUUCUCGGUGUAGCGGUGAAAUGCGUAGAUAUCGAGAGGAACACCUGCGGCGAAGGCGGGUUGCUGGGCUGACACUGACGCUGAGGCGCGAAAGCCAGGGGAGCGAACGGG